rnacentral:rRNA from 1 species
UACGAAGGGGGCUAGCGUUGCUCGGAAUCACUGGGCGUAAAGGGUGCGUAGGCGGGUCUUUAAGUCAGGGGUGAAAUCCUGGAGCUCAACUCCAGAACUGCCUUUGAUACUGAGGAUCUUGAGUUCGGGAGAGGUGAGUGGAACUGCGAGUGUAGAGGUGAAAUUCGUAGAUAUUCGCAAGAACACCAGUGGCGAAGGCGGCUCACUGGCCCGGUACUGACGCUGAGGCGCGAAAGCGUGGGGAGCAAACAGGG